rnacentral:lncRNA from 1 species
CAGAUUAGGUUAGAAGCCGAAAUAUUCAUAAAUAAGGCAGAGUAUCAUGCAAGAAGUUUAGACAAUUUGCCUUGAGCUGGAUAAAUAGUCAGUGUGGCUGAAUAAAUUUGUGUGAUGCCAAAAAGAGACUUUGGAAAUAAUGAAGGGAUAAUUUGUCCAAGGUAUGUUUUUUUGUGUCCAGCCAAGGUCAUUGGCUUCUUGGGACUUAAAAGUAUGAAUUCAUGGAGCAAAAAUGGUAACAACGCAUGGGCCAAAGAGUUCACAAUUUAAAUCUCUCCACAGGAAUGGAGUGCACUGGCUGUUCUGUAAUGGGGGGAAGGUGAAGCAGUGAAGUGAAGCAAAGCAGUGGCUCAGAGAACCAUGUAUUUUAAUAGCUCUUCUCAACAUGUGAAUAUCAAAAUCACAAAGGUUUCCUCUCAAGCAAUGCUGCAGCUUCCCAGCUGCAAAAUCCUCAAAAAGAACGGCUACAAGGAGAAAUCAGAAGCAGCUGACUGGCCUGUGGAAGCACAUGGAAGAAGUCAUGAUAAUGUCCUUCCUGGAAUGAGGAGUGAAGUGGGCCUGGUGGCUGCAGGGCUCCUCCUGUUUCAAAGCCUUGUGCAUUUUGGGCUCUUUGAUCCAUUCACAGAGUGA